rfam:Gossypium raimondii chromosome 1, whole genome shotgun sequence.
AUCCCUUGGUGAGAGCAUUUGUAAAGUAACUCUUUAAAUUUUUCUCAUGCGUCGUAUAAGGAUUCAUCAUCCAUUUGCUGAAAAGUGGUGAUCUCAUUCCACAACUU